rnacentral:lncRNA from 1 species
CUUUCUCUUGUUCAAUCUGAUGGGGUCAAGAGUGGCUAGAUACUGAAGAUAAUUCCUCUUCCAGUGCUCCAACUUUUUAUAGAAAAAGCACUCCGUCUGAUUCUUAUCAAUUUUUGACUUCUUGUUCUGACUGAGCUUAGGAGCCUCAGCACGAUUCUUCUGUACCUUCUUUUUUUUCCUUUCUUAGAGGAAUGAUGACGUGCAAAAGACCCACCUACUACAUUCAUCGGCUCUUUUUGGAGCUGGUG